AGUGAACGCUGGCGGUAGGCCUAACACAUGCAAGUCGAACGGCAGCACAGUAAGAGCUUGCUCUUACGGGUGGCGAGUGGCGGACGGGGGAGGAAUACAUCGGAAUCUACUUUUUCGUGGGGGAUAACGUAGGGAAACUUACGCUAAUACCGCAUACGACCUACGGGUGAAAGCAGGGGAUCUUCGGACCUUGCGCGAUUGAAUGAGCCGAUGUCGGAUUAGCUAGUUGGCGGGGUAAAGGCCCACCAAGGCGACGAUCCGUAGCAGGUGUGAGAGGAUGAUCAGCCACACUGGAACUGAGACACGGUCCAGCAUCCUACGGGAGGCAGCAGUGGGGAAUAUUGGACAAUGGGCGCAAGCCUGAUCCAGCCAUACCGCGUGGGUGAAGAAGGCCUUCGGGUUGUAAAGCCCUUUUGUUGGGAAAGAAAAGCAGCAGGUUAAUACCCCGCUGUUCUGACGGUACCCAAAGAAUAAGCACCGGCUAACUUCGUG
rnacentral:rRNA from 1 species